rnacentral:rRNA from 1 species
AUUGAACGCUGGCGGCAUGCCUUACACAUGCAAGUCGAACGGCAGCACGGGAGCAAUCCUGGUGGCGAGUGGCGAACGGGUGAGUAAUAUAUCGGAACGUGCCCAGUCGUGGGGGAUAACGCAGCGAAAGCUGUGCUAAUACCGCAUGAGAUCUAUGGAUGAAAGCGGGGGAUCGCAAGACCUCGCGCGAUUGGAGCGGCCGAUAUCAGAUUAGGUAGUUGGUGGGGGAAAGGCUCACCAAGCCGACGAUCUGUAGCUGGUCUGAGAGGACGACCAGCCACACUGGAACUGAGACACGGUCCCGACUCCUACGGGAGGGAGCAGUGGGGAAUUUUGGACAAUGGGCGCAAGCCUGAUCCAGCAAUGCCGCGUGCAGGAUGAAGGCCUUCGAGUUGUAAACUGCUUUUGUACGGAACGAAAAGGCUCUGGUUAAUACCUGGGGCACAUGACGGUACCGUAAGAAUAAGCACCGGCUAACUACGUGCCAGCCGCCGCCGUAAUAC